UGGGGAAUAUUGGACAAUGGGCGAAAGCCUGAUCCAGCAACGCCGCGUGAGGGAUGACGGCCUUCGGGUUGUAAACCUCUUUCAGUAGGGACGAAGCGAGAGUGACGGUACCUACAGAAGAAGGACCGGCCAACUACGUGCCAGCAGCCGCGGUAAUACGUAGGGUCCGAGCGUUGUCCGGAAUUAUUGGGCGUAAAGGGCUCGUAGGCGGUUUGUCGCGUCGGGAGUGAAAACUUGGGGCUUAACCCCAUUCGUGCUUCCGAUACGGGCAGACUAGAGGCAGGCAGGGGAGAACGGAAUUCCUGGUGUAGCGGUGGAAUGCGCAGAUAUCAGGAGGAACACCGGUGGCGAAGGCGGUUCUCUGGGCCUGUUCUGACGCUGAGGAGCGAAAGCAUGGGGAGCGAACAG
rnacentral:rRNA from 1 species